GAACUGUAGAGUUUGAUCCUGGCUCAGAUUGAACGCUGGCGGCAUGCCUUACACAUGCAAGUCGAACGGUAACAGGUCUUCGGACGCUGACGAGUGGCGAACGGGUGAGUAAUACAUCGGAACGUGCCCAGUCGUGGGGGAUAACUACUCGAAAGAGUAGCUAAUACCGCAUACGAUCUGAGGAUGAAAGCGGGGGACCUUCGGGCCUCGCGCGAUUGGAGCGGCCGAUGGCAGAUUAGGUAGUUGGUGGGAUAAAAGCUUACCAAGCCGACGAUCUGUAGCUGGUCUGAGAGGACGACCAGCCACACUGGGACUGAGACACGGCCCAGACUCCUACGGGAGGCAGCAGUGGGGAAUUUUGGACAAUGGGCGAAAGCCUGAUCCAGCAAUGCCGCGUGCAGGAUGAAGGCCUUCGGGUUGUAAACUGCUUUUGUACGGAACGAAAAAGCU
rnacentral:rRNA from 1 species